ensembl:lncRNA
AUUCAGGCUAAGGGGAGGCUGACUCUGCUUCUAUCCUUUCGCUUCUAGGAGCACCUUUCGUGGCAGACAGCACCUGCUGCCCAUGUUGAUGUGUCUCACCGCUCUGCUGCCACACGAAUUGAAACCACAGGAAGGGGAGCCCCAGGUCAACAGAGUUGCUGGAAGACAAGGUCAUUAGCCCCAGCAUCCUCCUGCGGGCAUGCAUGGCAGCAAGAAUUGAAAGGAUGAUGUAUUGCACUCUAAGGGAAGGAGGAUUGUGGUCCUGGUGCCUACAGACAUACCUCACAGUGACAGAGCAAGCAGAACAUUCCAGCCAUCUUUCCAGAGAGAGUGAAGGAGGACAGUCAGAACAGAGCACCUACCCACUGAACCUGAAAGCAUGGUAACUGUUUGUCCUUUUGCAGCACUUACCACCUCUCUGUCAGCUAAGUAGGUUUCCUGUAACAAAUGCUGCAAUGAAUGGCGUUGCUGAGGUAGGCUAGCAAGUGCAUGGCUUCUGCAUCAACCAAAGGAACAGCUAUUGCUAUCAUAAGCUCUUUAGAUGUAGCCUUAUUCCUUCAAAAUCGAUUUUGCUGGAAAAUACUGUUUUACAAGUGAUCUAAGAGUACCAUUUUCAAGCUUGUUGUUGUAUAUUUGACAGCCCUUCAGACAUAAGAAGUGCUGCCAUUUCCUCCUGUCUGGCCUUUUUUACAUAUAUGACUCUGUCACUCGGCAAUGAAAGCACUGAAAAAAAAUGUCAGGUGGAAAACAUUUUUGUAAAAUCACAAAUGUUGGUGGCCAGUGAGUAUUUCAGGGCACAUGAACCUGGAAACAUUUUCAAACACAUUGUUGUAUCAUUCCAUUUUGGUCACUGACAAAAUUAAUUUGCAUUUUUGAAAAAUCCCUUCAGCUGGGCUCCCCAAGAAGUGCAGCUUUUUGUGUUCUGAAAGCCAUGGCAUUUGAUUGGAUUACUAAACGAUCUAACUUUAAUUAAAUGGGCACUAAUGUAGGUGCCCAUUUAAUAAAAAAUCUUCAUCAUGAGUUGAAUGUGUAAUGCAUGUCUCACAGACCUGCAGGUCAACGAGCAAGCCAAGCUGCUUUUUAGAGGACUAGCAGUGGUGUCUGCAAGGAGUACAGCUCUUUGAUCUACAGCUGCAGAGAUGAAGACACUGAUAAAAGGUUGCAUCUGGGUUAGAAUCUGUCUUUGCCGAGUUGCCAGUUCCCUUCUUAUUGUGAGAGUCAAGGUUUUCCGAAUCCCACUAAAAAAAAGGAGCAUGUCAGCUUUUUAGCAUGAGACUUUGAAGCACUGUACCCUUUCUCACUGCAAAACAUUUUGUGGUAGGUAUGACAAGGCUGCAGUCAGUCAGUCUGAUGUACAAAUGCAGAGAACCUGAUCUCCUAUGCCAUGCAAUUGGAGUUUUCGAGGCUUUUCCAGCUUUGUCCUUAGAUCAAGGUUAUUAAUCUGAUGAGCACAUGAACACCUAGGAUAUGCAGAGAUACAGAACAAACUUCACAGCCCCACCCUUUAACAUCAAGAACGUUCUUUUUCUCUUGAAGAAGCCAGCAGGCAUCUUGCAUCAAUACAGUGUAGACACACUGUUUUUUGUCUCCUUGUUGUUCAGGGCUGCUCCAUCCACAUUGCCAUCCUGUACUUGGCAUCAUCUGCGUUGUCAUCUGUUUACUACCACGUUUGUAGUUGUGAAUAGAAGCUUAAAGCCUUUGUUCUUUUACAGGAUUUUAGCUUAUGGCAGAGUUUCAGUGAUGGUCACAGCUCUGUGCAGCCGCAGGUGGAUGUGCAUGGCUUGUAGGCCAGGAAUGGUCCUCAUAAAGUACAAGGCUCUGCAUAAGGUUUUGCUUACAUCUGAUAUAUCUAAGUGAGUUUCAAAAACAUGGUGACUGCCAUCUCUUUCACACCUACAGCUAGUGAAAUCGUGACAAGGUGCACACUGAAACGGCUCCCAUGGGAUCCAAAUGUUAGAGCAGAUUCUUUUUUCACUAGAUUGCAUGGGAAAAUUACGUGGUAUUUCUUUUCUCUCAGACUUGUACUACUUUCUCCUAGCCCCCACAGUUUCCCAAGAAAUUCACACUGCAGACACAGCUAUAUCAUUAAGAGGCUUCUUGAAGUGGCAAGAAAAUGGCACUGCACUUAAAUCUGUCAACUUCUGAGACUCGCUUUGAAUAGUAACAAUGGUUGUAUUGAGCCAUGAGAUUCACACCAAGCUUGUCAUAUCUUUCUUUGGAUGCUGACAUUCCAAUUGCAUGUCAAACACUGCCUUAACACACGGCAUGUUGUGAAAUAUGCUGUCAAAUAAUGCACAUUUCGGGCAUGGAGAUUUCAUACAGUCCUUUAUACUUCCUCUCCUAUUUUUUAUUUGAAAAGAAGUUAGAAUUUGAUCAUCAUGGAUUAACCUUUAAAGGGGCUCUUGAAGGAUCUGGGGUGACGUGAAUGGAACUCUCUAAUUUCCUGCAGUGUUCUGGACCAGUUAAAUUCCACCCCAGCAGCUCAUCACAGGGCUGUUGGCCCUGCCAGGCAAGGCUGAGCACAGUCUGUGGGCAGUACAGCGUGCACGGUGGAUGCUCUGAAACCCAGACAACGAGAAAAGUCCUUGUACUAAGAUGUUGACAACUCGUAUUAGAGUGAGUAAUGUGCUGGGAUGCAUGCCAGCCUCCUAGACCUUCACGUUAUGGCUGCAGCGUAAGCAAUUUCAAUGCCAGUUAAUUGCACUUGAAAACACUGUGGUGGUUGUGGUAUCUAAACACAGAAUAGGCGGAGAUGUGGAGUAAUGCCUCGGGACAUGGUGACUUUAGUGUGAAGGAAUCAAUGAAGGACUUUGAAGUCUACCCUUGUUUUCUUUGAAUAGCUUUCUCUUCUAUCUCAUGCUGGCACUAAUUCAACAGAUAUUGGUUUCUGUUGUUUUUUUAAUGCUAAAACCCAGGGAUUUGGUUGUCAUAAGACUGCUGGCAUGCAGUUCUCAGCCUCUAACAUAUAGAGUGGUUAUGGCUGACCUGCAGCAGCUUAUUACUUAACCACUUCUGCAUCUACCUUAAUGCUUACAUACUGCAGAAAUGGCACUUUGUCAUGUUUGUACUUACCCUCUUCUUAAACACAGUUACUCCAAAGAUGAGGACUGCAGUGCCUACUUAGUGUAAAGGAAGGAUGGGGGAGGCACUGGGAUCAGAGUGCUGUCUGUCUCACUUUAUGUCCUGCUAGGUGGCCCUUUGCAUCUCUGAGCCUAAUUUUCCUACCCUCUGUGAAAAGCUGUAACUUUUUAGGGUACUUUGGGAGAUCUGCAGAAGAAAAACUUUGAGGCAUGCAAAUAAUUCUAUGGUGCAUUUGUUUAUUUUUUAUAUGGUUAUUUAUUUUAUUUGUGUGGUUAUUUGUUUAUUUGCUUAUUCUAUUAUGCAAAUAAUAGUAAUGCAGAUAGUUCUAUGCUGUGUCUCUCAGUAGACGUCAUCAGGCUUGUCCAGAAUCUCUUCCAGAACAUGUACAGAAUCCUUCAUGCUAGCAUCAGUGGCAGCUGAGAACAGUAAAUGAAAGUUUAGCUCAAAGAUUCUGGAGACUAAGAGGUAUGCUUUCCUUUCCAGUAAAAUAUGACAUCGUUUUCAUAAAGCCCUCACUGUAAUAAAGCAGUAGUUCUCUC